rnacentral:rRNA from 1 species
UACGUAGGUGGCGAGCGUUGUCCGGAAUUACUGGGCGUAAAGGGCGCGUAGGCGGCUAAUCAAGUCAGAUGUGAAAACCCUAGGCUUAACCUGGGGAUUGCAUUUGAAACUGAAUAGCUCGAGUGUCGGAGAGGAAAGCGGAAUUCCUAGUGUAGCGGUGAAAUGCGUAGAUAUUAGGAGGAACACCAGUGGCGAAGGCGGCUUUCUGGACGAUAACUGACGCUGAGGCGCGAAAGCGUGGGGAGCAAACAGGAUUAGAUACCCUGGUAGUCCACGCUGUAAACGAUGGAUACUAGGUGUGGGAGGUAUCGAACCCUUCCGUGCCGCAGUAAACGCAAUAAGUAUCCCGCCUGGGGAGUACGGCCGCAAGGUUGAA